AACAAGUACAACUUUCAACAACGGAUCUCUUGGCUCUCGCAUCGAUGAAGAACGCAGCGAAAUGCGAUAAGUAAUGUGAAUUGCAGAAUUCAGUGAAUCAUCGAAUCUUUGAACGCACCUUGCGCUCCUUGGNAUUCCGAGGAGCAUGCCUGUUUGAGUGUCAUGAAAU
rnacentral:rRNA from 1 species